rnacentral:rRNA from 1 species
UACGUAGGGGGCUAGCGUUGUCCGGAAUCAUUGGGCGUAAAGAGCGUGUAGGCGGCCCGGUAAGUCCGCUGUAAAAGUCAAAGGCUCAACCUUUGAAUGUCAGUGGAUACUGCCGGGCUAGAGUCCGGAAGAGGCGAGUGGAACUCCUGGUGUAGCGGUGAAAUGCGCAGAUAUCAGGAGGAACACCAAUGGCGAAGGCAGCACUCUGGGACGUGACUGACGCUGAGACGCGAAAGCGUGGGGAGCAAACAGG